GUUUCUGCAGCUGAGAAACUGCAAAAGUAAAGUAGCAGGACCCAACUGCCUUAUCAUUGCAAAAAAUAUCUUUUUUUGCCUCAAAAUAUGGAGGUGAUUCUCGUAUUGCACGCAGAACGUUAUAUCCUUCAUCAGCAUGAAUGAGUUUUUCAAGAGCACCUUCUUUUUUCAGCUGCCCAGCUGUUAUUCUGCUAGAUCCUGCUUUUUGUUUCCUCGAUGCAAUCUGUGAUUUGCCAAGCAGAAUUUUCAUUUGCAUUUUUUUUUGUCUUGAAAAAUAUAUUUUCAAUGCACAUGGCCGAUCUCCUAUCUGUGCGCCUUAGCUCUGAUUUAUAGAUAUCGCUAUAACAGACUGGAACAAGCCUUUCAUUGUUACUAGCUCUUUGGUGUCCGCAGAAUAUAUUUGGCUUUUGAAAUAUUAAUCUUGGCAAGACAAGUCUCCAUUCAAGCUGUGAAGUGUCAGAAAAUUGUGAUGGCAAAACUGGGAAGCACAUUUUAUUUGCAAGUGCACAAUUUUUUUUUCAAUGAAUUGUAACAUGUUAUGCAAACAUAUUCAGAAUGUGUUGACGGGACACUUUGUAUUACUCAUCAAUUUUGAAACUUGAUGGACACUAUGUUUAUACCAUAGCUAAUCACAACUACAGCGAUAUAUUGGUCCUUUAGAAACUAGAGCAUGAAAUCUCUCAAUAAAAUACUGAACAUUUUUUAA